rnacentral:rRNA from 1 species
GGAAGGAUCAUUAAUGAAACUUCAAAGUCGGCCAAAGGUUGUUGCUGGYGAUUAUUCACAUGUGCACGCCUUUGGUCGCAAAUCCACACACACCUGUGCAUCUAUGACUCGAGGUUGUAAUGACUGAGAGUAACUUUUAUACACUCUUGUAUGUAAUGGAAUGUCUUUUUGUGCUAUAAUGUACAAUAUAAACAACUUUCAACAACGGAUCUCUUGGCUCUCGCAUCGAUGAAGAACGCAGCGAAAUGCGAUAAGUAAUGUGAAUUGCAGAAUUCAGUGAAUCAUCGAAUCUUUGAACGCACCUUGCACCCUUUGGUAUUCCGAAGGGUACGCCCGUUUGAGUGUCAUUGUAAUCUCACUUCUACAACUUUAUUGUUGUUUGAAUGUGGACUUGGAUGUUGCCGUUUUAUCACGGCUCGUCUUAAAUGCCUGAGUGUACCCUGUUUUGCAGCGUAUCCAGUGUAAUAAACAUUUCACUAGAGUUGGUCGAAAGACCGCGUUGACUAUAUGGGCUCUAUGCUUCAAACCGUCUGCCAUGUGGACAAUUUCUUGACAAUUUGACCUCAAAUCGGGUGGGACUACCCGCUGAACUUAAGCAUAUCAAUAAGCGGAGGAAAAGAAACUAACAAGGAUUCCCCUAGUAACGGCGAGUGAAGAGGGAAAAGCUCAAAUUUUAAAUCUGGUGUCUUUGACUCCCGAGUUGUAAUCUAGAGAAGUGUUUUCCGUGUCGGACCGUGUACAAGUUCCCUGGAACGGGGCGUCAUAGAGGGUGAGAAUCCCGUAUAUGCCACGGACUACCGAUGCUCUGUGAUACACUCUCAACGAGUCGAGUUGUUUGGGAAUGCAGCUCAAAAUGGGUGGUAAAUUCCAUCUAAAGCUAAAUAUUGGCGAGAGACCGAUAGCGAACAAGUACCGUGAGGGAAAGAUGAAAAGCACUUUGGAAAGAGAGUGAAACAGUACGUGAAAUUGUUGAAAGGGAAGCGUUUGAAGUCAGUCGCAUCUGUUGGGGUUCAGCCUGGCUUUUGCCUGGUGUAUUUCCUUUCCGAUGGGUCAGCAUCAGUUUCGACCGAGGGAAAAAGACAUUUGGAAUGUGGCUGUCUUCGGGCAGUGUUAUAGCCUUGUGUUGUAUGUCUCGGUUGGGACUGAGGAUUGCAGCGCGCCAUAAAUGGCCGGGGGUCGCUCCUCUCGACACGCGCUUAGGAUGCUGGCAUAAUGGCUUUAAGCGACCCGUCUUGAAACACGGACCAAGGAGUCUAACAUGUGCGCGAGUGUUUGGGUGUAAAACCCGAGCGCGUAAUGAAAGUGAAAGGUCGGGAUCAUUCAUUUGUGCACCGACGCCCGGAGCUGACCUUCUGUGACGCAUCCGCGG